AUUGAACGCUGGCGGCAGGCCUAACACAUGCAAGUCGAACGAGUGGGGACGGGUGAGUAACACGUGGGUAACCUCCCAUCAGAGGGGAUAAAACUUGGAAACAGGUGCUAAACCGAUACUGAUGGAUGGACCCGCGGUGCAUUAUCUAGUUGGUGAGGAAACGGCUCACCAAGGCCCCGAUGCAUAGCCGACCUGAGAGGGUGAUCGGCCACACUGGGGCUGAUACACGGCCCAGACUCCUGCGUGAGGCAGCAGUAGGGAAUCUGCGGCAGUGGACGGAAGUCUGACCGAGCAACGCCGAGUGAGUGAAGAAGGUUUUCGGUUCGUAAGACUCUGUUGUUAGAGAAGCGGUAUCUAACCAGAAAGCCACGGCUAACCACGUGCCAGCAGCCGCGGUAAUAC
rnacentral:rRNA from 1 species